rnacentral:rRNA from 1 species
UACGUAGGGUCCGAGCGUUAAUCGGAAUUACUGGGCGUAAAGCGUGCGCAGGCGGUUUUGUAAGCCAGAUGUGAAAGCCCCGGGCUUAACCUGGGAAUGGCAUUUGGGACUGCAAGGCUGGAGUACGGCAGAGGGAGGUGGAAUUCCAGGUGUAGCAGUGAAAUGCGCAGAUAUCGGGAGGAACACCAAUGGCGAAGGCAGCUCGCUGGGACGGUACUGACGCUGAGACGCGAAAGCGUGGGGAGCAAACAGG